GACGAACGCUGGCGGCGUGCUUAACACAUGCAAGUCGAACGGUGAAGCCCCAGCUUGCUGGUGUGGAUCAGUGGCGAACGGGUGAGUAACACGUGAGCAACCUGCCCCAGACUCUGGAAUAAGCGCUGGAAACGGCGUCUAAUACUGGAUACGAGAUCAAGCCGCAUGGUUAUGGUCUGGAAAGUUUUUCGGUUUGGGAUGGGCUCGCGGCCUAUCAGCUUGUUGGUGAGGUAAUGGCUCACCAAGGCGACGACGGGUAGCCGGCCUGAGAGGGCGACCGGCCACACUGGGACUGAGACACGGCCCAGACUCCUACGGGAGGCAGCAGUGGGGAAUAUUGCACAAUGGGCGAAAGCCUGAUGCAGCGACGCCGCGUGAGGGAUGACGGCCUUCGGGUUGUAAACCUCUUUCAGCAGGGAAGAAGCGAAAGUGACGGUACCUGCAGAAGAAGCACCGGCUAACUACGUG
rnacentral:rRNA from 1 species